rnacentral:sRNA from 1 species
GCUGGGCACAGUGGCUCGUGCCUGUAAUCUCAGCACUUUGGGAGGCUGAGGUGGGUGGAUCGCCUGAGGUCAGGAGUUCGAGACCAGCCUGGCCAACAUGGCGACACCCCGUCUCUACUAAAAAUACAAAAAUUAGCUGGGCAUGGUGGCGGACGCCUGUAAUCCCAGCUACUCAAGAAGCUGAGGCAGGAGAAUCACUUGAACUCAGGAGACGUUGCAGUGAGUUGGGAUUGUGCCACUGUACUCCAGCCUGGGCGACAAGGUGAGACUCUGUCUUA